GCCAGUCUGAUUUCUCUCUCACUCGGCUGGUAUGGCCGUGCGUGACGGUCUAGUCGUGUUGCGUUUGGGGCUCCUUGCUCUUAGUAGUUGUGUUUAGCUUCGUGCCGUCGUCGCGUUUAAUUAAUCGAAUCGUGAGCCAGAAGAAAAUUGUGCGACGCCAUGGAGCGCGCGUCGGAGGCGCUCAGCGUCGACGACGUUUACAGCCUUGCCGAAGAGAUCGGGAAAGAAUUCGAAAUCCUCAUUGACAACUACGGCGUCGAGCCCGUGAACAAGCUGGUCACUAAAGUGAUUCGCGUGUUGGAGUACCUCGAAGCGUACGCCACCAAGAAUGACAUCGCCCGCAACGAGAUCGCCGAGCUCAGGGCCCAGAUCUACCAGCUCGAGCAUGACAAGUACGAGAAGGCGGAGUCGAGAAGCAAGCUCGAAAAGGAGAUGGAGCAGUAUGAAGACAUCUGGCGGCAAGAAAUGAAAGAUCUGGGUGUCCUUGUGGCGCGGCUACAGGAGGAAAACUCCAAACUGAGCAGUUCCCUCAAAGAGAGAGAAAGUCACCCAUCCUUGCAGUGCGAACCACACAGUGUGACGCUAGGGGAAGACAUUGUCGUCCUUGAACGGCUCCGGGAUGCCUUCGACAAGCAGGGAGCCCAACUGAGACAUCAUGAAAAGGACAUGGCCAAGAAAGCUGCCGACAUAGAAUCUCUUCAGCAGCAGCUGGAAGCCAGUAAGAAGGCGGCCCAAGAGCAGAGCCGACGCAACCGGCGGCUGCAGCAGCAGAUGCGACAGUUGUGCGAGGAGCGCGGUGACCUGCAAGUGCAGUUGCAGGACCAGCAGAGCCAGCUCCAGACCUUGCAGGAGCGACUAGGCAUUGCUGUCAAGGACCACGACGACAUCCUCCAAUCCAGGGACGCUGCCUUGGAUAUGCAAGGAAAAGUGGUGAUUGACUUGGACGACCCGAACCGACCACGCUUCACGCUGGAGGAGCUCAAGCACAUCUUGUUUGAGAGGAACGAGCUCAAGGCUCGAGUUAGUGAUCUCGAAGACGAGCUGGCUUUGUACAGGCCAAGGUGGUGGGCUCAUGAGGCAACCUCGCUUCUGACCAGGCCGGUUGACCCACCAUCGCCGGUCAGGGACGAAGACCGGCCCGUCCAGGGACCCAUCAACCAGGAGCCUGAGGAGAAGCUUUUUUCCUACGGAAAGGCCUCCGGCAUUCGCAAAUUGUUCCGGGUCAUUAAUAAAAUUAGAGGAUGAGUUUGCUGCCGUAUCUUGGACCUUGAAGGAAGGCAGCUCGCAGCAGUCAUCCCCCCCUUGACUGUUUUCCAAGUGUCCUGUGGCCUCGCGUCAAACCGGGAUGAGAGGCCUCGUCUGCUGUCUCCUGCGGGGCCUGCUCUCUCACGGUGGCCUCUCGAUGGAGUUCCUUGUCGACAUCGCACCGUUCUUCGAACUGCACACGGCCUUGUCUCCGGAUUCCAGAGUGCUACAGUGAAGCCAUGCUUUCGUUGCUUGCAAGUGCAGCAAGGAUAGAAAGUGAUGCGCGCACCCCCUCUCUAGGAAACGUGUGUCAUUGCCAUUGCAGCCCAGUGGCAUUGUGUGUGUAUUAUCUUGUGGACGUGCCAAGCUAGGAAAGUGGCAGGUUGCAGAGGUGACAGUGACUCUUCAAAUUGAAUUAAAAUGUCACGAUUAGUGGGCAGGGCCAAAUGUGGCUUCACUGUUUUAGAGAGGUCCAUCUCGAUAUGCAACUAAAGUUUAAAAGCAGCAACCAUGUGGAACAGCCCCUUGAUACAGGUAUUUGCAUUGCCUUGUUUCCGCGCACAUUUUGUGACCCACAAAGCCCCUACUGUAGUUGCAGCUGAGGUUCAAUGUGGUUGCUUCAGUGAGUUAAGUUAGUGUGGCACCAUUUAGCUGCGAUUCCAGUGUGGGCAUAGUGUGUUGUGAAAUAGACGUGGCAAUAUCAUGACUGAAAACACAGUUGAAGCUUGUUCCAUGUGUUUGCUUUCAAAUGUGUGCGCAUUCAAGUAUACUUACAAUUCUGCAGGAGGUAUCAAAAUAUUGUGCAUGUAGCAAUACAAACUAGGCACUGCACAGUGCACAAAGUUACGCACAUGGCUUUGUCUGCAGUUUAACAGAGACCGAAUGCAGUGUUUGCAACUUGCAUUAUAUAGUUUUUAUUUUUUUUUUGUCGGUUAUGAAAGGUCAUGUUCUGUGUAGAUUUGUUUUAUUUAUUUUAAUGUAUUUUAAUGUCUCGCUGUUUUCAGUUUUUAAUGCAUUUUAGCUGCAGCCUUUUCGGUUAAGCUUCAUUUUUUUGUUGUAGUUGUUGCUUGAGUUGCAUUACACACUGCUCCUUAAUUAUUAAUGAAGUCCAAGACACUGGAAAAAUACCUUAUCUAGAGAGAUGGUCUUGGUAAAAUAGAUCUAAUCUGUUAUCACUACUUACGAGCACAAUUGUUAACUGUUGCAAGUAGAUAAUUUCACUUUCGUCUGGUAGAGAAAUAACUGUAGGACAGUGUUUCAUAAGAUGCACAUCUGGCAGCAAUGUCAUUUUCUCGUGUCCUACAGUGCAAGUUAUUCGCUUUCUGUAUAGACACUAACUGUUUAUAAGGUAUGACCUUAAUGUGCUUUUGAAGCAGUAUUUGAUGCAGACAUGCAGGCAUUGUUAAUGAUAAGGGUGACACUACCUUUUGAUUACGAGAUAUAUUCCAAAAGGACUUGCUAUUGGGCUGGUAACAUAUCUUAGAUGAUUAAAAGAGCGCAAAUAGGCACACUCGCAAGCACACAUACACAGUGCUCAGUUCUGUUUGAUUGCUAGUAUGCAAGCCCACAUUUAUGUGCAGAAAAUUAAGCAUGUGCAAACUAAAAAAAAAAUUCUAUAAGCCACUGUCAGAAAGACAGAAUAUGUUGGUCACAGCCUUGAAUCCAAAAAAGAGACUUUUGCAGGGAACAAAGUUACAAAUGGUUCACUGACGCACUACUGCUCGUUCUUUCAAAUGAAAAGGGCUUCUAAGGCCACACAUGUUGUUGUUGCACUUUUACCAAGAGUCUGCGUGCCAUGGAAUCGUGGCUCACAGCCACAAGAUGUGACAUGCGCAACCAAGUGCACGUAUGUAUCUUUUUUCUUUACUUUUUGUGUGUGCUCUCAUAAUUGAUCGUUCAAACAUCGUUCAGUUUGCCCACUGUACACAUUACCGUGGGAAAGAGGAAUUUAGUAAACAACUCCAGUGGAACAUUUUAUGAACAUAUCUCAUGUUUUUUCUCGCAGCCGAAUUUCCCGGCAUCGCAUGUGCGUGGGCAUACUUUCCCUAGUUUCUUGGGAGCCGAAAAAACCAGUAGCACUCCGGGCCUGCCCAUGAUUUUUUUUUUUUUUAGACGAUGGGAGAGUUUGUGGAUACAGGGCACAAAUUGAGGUCUGCGUAGCAGCCAUCUCCUCAUCUGCUACACGUUUCAGCUUCUGCAGUAGUGUCUUGGCAAUGGCAAUUAUGAGCGAAGUCGGGAAGUCUGCAGCCAAAAGCCGGCUCACCUAUGUCCACAAACUCUCCCACACUCUAAA